UACAGAGGGGGCAAGCGUUGUUCGGAAUUACUGGGCGUAAAGGGCGCGUAGGCGGCCUGCUAAGUCGAACGUGAAAUCCCCGGGCUCAACCCGGGAACUGCGUCCGAGACUGGCGGGCUUGAAUCCGGGAGAGGGAUGCGGAAUUCCAGGUGUAGCGGUGAAAUGCGUAGAUAUCGAGAGGAACACCUGCGGCGAAGGCGGGUUGCUGGGCUGACACUGACGCUGAAGUGCGAAAGCUAGGGGGGCGAACGGG
rnacentral:rRNA from 1 species